rnacentral:misc_RNA from 1 species
AUCUGUCAACAUAGUCAAGCUUUGUCUUGCGCUAUGAUUGCAUGAAUGAAGGUUGCUGGAAAUCUUGUCAGCUCCUUUUAAAUCGAUUAGCGGAAAAUGCUUUCAGCUCUGGUUUGAUAAGUUUUUCUAUGCCUUUGCUGAUGCUAUCAUCUUUCGCUUCUAAUUGUCCGUUUGGACUGUCUUUUUGAAGACAUGUCUUGA